rnacentral:rRNA from 1 species
UGGCCAGACUCCUACGGGAGGCAGCAGUGGGGAAUAUUGCACAAUGGGGGAAACCCUGAUGCAGCGACGCCGCGUGAGUGAAGAAGUAUCUCGGUAUGUAAACCUCUAUCAGCAGGAAAGAUAGUGACGGUACCUGACUAAGAAGCCCCGGCUAACUACGUGCCAGCAGCCGCGGUAAUACGUAGGGGGCAAGCGUUAUCCGGAAUUACUGGGUGUAAAGGGAGCGUAGACGGUGAUGCAAGUCUGGAGUGAAAGGCGGGGGCCCAACCCCCGGACUGCUCUGGAAACUGUGUAACUUGAGUGCAGGAGAGGUAAGCGGAAUUCCUAGUGUAGCGGUGAAAUGCGUAGAUAUUAGGAGGAACACCAGUGGCGAAGGCGGCUUACUGGACUGUAACUGACGUUGAGGCUCGAAAGCGUGGGGAGCAAACAGGAUUAGAUACCCUUGUAU